GAGGUAGGGGUGAUUACUUACUGUGGAUUGGAAGGUGCUAUGUAGAUGGGCGAGGUAGGGGUGAUUACUUACUGUGGUUUGGAAGGUGCUAUGUAGAUGGGCGAGGUAGGGGUGAUUACUUACUGCAGUUUGGAAGGUGCUAUGUAGAUGGGCGAGGUAGGGGUGAUUACUUAUUGCAGAUUGGAAGGUGCUAUGUAGAUGGGGGAGGUAGGGGUGAUUACUUACUGCAGUUUGGAAGGUGCUAUGUAGAUGGGCGAGGUAGGGGUGAUUACUUACUGUGGUUUGGAAGGUGCUAUGUAGAUGGGCGAGGUAGGGGUGAUUACUUACUGCAGUUUGGAAGGUGCUAUGUAGAUGGGCGAGGUAGGGGUGAUUACUUAUUGCAGAUUGGAAGGUGCUAUGUAGAUGGGGGAGGUAGGGGUGAUUACUUACUGCAGUUUGGAAGGUGCUAUGUAGAUGGGCGAGGUAGGGGUGAUUACUUACUGCAGUUUGGAAGGUGCUAUGUAGAUGGGUGAGGUAUGGGUGAUUACUUACUGUGGUUUGGAAGGUGCUAUGUAGAUGGGCGAGGUAGGGGUGAUUACUUACUGCAGUUUGGAAGGUGCUAUGUAGAUGGUGAGGUAGGGGUG